CCUACGGGUGGCAGCAGUGAGGAAUAUUGGUCAAUGGAGGCAACUCUGAACCAGCCAAGUAGCGUGCAGGAUGACGGCCCUAUGGGUUGUAAACUUCUUUUAUGCGGGGAUAAACUGAGUCACGUGUGGCUUAUUGCAGGUACCUCAUGAAUAAGGACCGGCUAAUUCCGUGCCAGCAGCCGCGGUAAUACGGAAGGUCCGGGCGUUAUCCGGAUUUAUUGGGUUUAAAGGGAGCGCAGGGCGGCCCGUAAGCGCGUUGUGAAAUGCUGCGGCUCAACCGUUGAACUGCCGUGGAAACUGGCGGGCUUGAGUGCGCGGAAGGUAGGCGGAAUGCGUGGUGUAGCGGUGAAAUGCUUAGAUAUCACGAAGAACCCCGAUUGCGAAGGCAGCGUACCGGCGCGUGACUGACGCUGAGGCUCGAAGGUGUGGGUAUCGAACAGGAUUAGAUACCCGGGUAGUC
rnacentral:rRNA from 1 species